rnacentral:rRNA from 1 species
CAAUAGCGUAUAUUUAAGUUGCUGCAGUUAAAAAGCUCGUAGUUGGAUUUCGGGUGGGAAUGGCCGGUCCGCCGUUUCGGUGUGCACUUGCUACGCCCACCUUGCUGCCGGGGACGUGCUCUUGAGUUCACGCUCGGGACACGGAGUCGGCGAGGUUACUUUGAGUAAAUUAGAGUGUUCAAAGCAGGCCUACGCUCUGAGUACAUUAGCAUGGAAUAACACGAUAGGACUCUGGCCUAUCUUGUUGGUCUGUAGGACCGGAGUAAUGAUUAAGAGGGACAGUCGGGGGCAUUCGUAUUUCAUUGUCAGAGGUGAAAUUCUUGGAUUUAUGAAAGACGAACUACCGCGAAAGCAUUUACCAAGGAUGUUUUCAUUAA